GAUGAACGCUGGCGGCGUGCCUAAUACAUGCAAGUCGAGCGAACGGACGAGAAGCUUGCUUCUCUGAUGUUAGCGGCGGACGGGUGAGUAACACGUGGAUAACCUACCUAUAAGACUGGGAUAACUUCGGGAAACCGGCGCUAAUACCGUAUGAUAUUUUGAACCGCAUGGUUCAAAAGUGAAAGACGGUCUUGCUGUCACUUAUAGAUGGAUCCGCGCUGCAUUAGCUAGUUGGUAAGGUAACGGCUUACCAAGGCAACGAUGCAUAGCCGACCUGAGAGGGUGAUCGGCCACACUGGAACUGAGACACGGUCCAGACGCCUACGGGAGGCAGCAGUAUGGAAUCGUCCGCAGUGGGCGAGAGCCUGACGGAGCAGCGCCGCGUGAGUGAUGGAGGUCUUCGGAUCGUAAAGCUCUGUUAUUAGGGAAGAACAUAUGUGUAAGGAACUGUGCACAGCGUGACGGUACCUAAUCAGAAAGCCACGGCUAACUACGUG
rnacentral:rRNA from 1 species